UACGAAGGGGGCAAGCGUUGUCCGGAAUCAUUGGGCGUAAAGAGCGUGUAGGCGGCCCGGUAAGUCCGCCGUGAAAGUCCAGGGCUCAACCCUGGAAUGCCGGUGGAAACUGCCGGGCUGGAGUCCGGAAGAGGCGAGUGGAAUUCCUGGUGUAGCGGUGAAAUGCGCAGAUAUCAGGAGGAACACCAAUGGCGAAGGCAGCUCGCUGGGACGGUACUGACGCUGAGACGCGAAAGCGUGGGGAGCAAACAGG
rnacentral:rRNA from 1 species